rfam:Triticum urartu cultivar G1812 contig543152, whole genome shotgun sequence.
GCUUGGAGAUGAGGAUCAUCAGAGGCUGUUUCUGAGGAUGUGCCUAGAGCUUGUCCUGUGUUGCACAUUGACUGAUUUGCCUAUCUGAUCCAAAG